rnacentral:lncRNA from 1 species
CAACUACAACACACAACAACAACUCAAAUCCAUCAUACAAGCUCAAAACAUAACAUUAACUCCAAAAACCUAACUAUGAGCUAAACAUGCAUUCUACCCCAUAGAUCUUGCAUAAAACUUUCUUUAAACAUGAAAUGAGCUUAAGAUCGGCUCUUACCUCUUGAAGAUCGAGAGAGAGACGUCCUAAACUCGAAGGUGGGAGGUUUUGAGUUCUUGAACCUCAAAGCUCCAAAACUUGCUUUAAACUCGAAAAUCU